UACAUAGGGGGCAAGCGUUGUUCGGAAUUACUGGGCGUAAAGGGCGCGUAGGCGGCCUGCUAAGUCGAACGUGAAAUCCCCGGGCUCAACCCGGGAACUGCGUCCGAUACUGGUUGGCUUGAAUCCGGGAGAGGGAUGCGGAAUUCCAGGUGUAGCGGUGAAAUGCGUAGAUAUCUGGAGGAACACCGGUGGCGAAGGCGGCAUCCUGGACCGGCAUUGACGCUGAGGUGCGAAAGCCAGGGGAGCAAACGGG
rnacentral:rRNA from 1 species